CCUACGGGGGGCUGCAGUGGGGAAUAUUGGACAAUGGGGGGAACCCUGAUCCAGCCAUGCCGCGUGUGUGAAGAAGGCCCUCGGGUUGUAAAGCACUUUCAGUGAGGAAGAACGCCUGGUGGUUAAUACCCAUCAGGAAAGACAUCACUCACAGAAGAAGCACCGGCUAACUCCGUGCCAGCAGCCGCGGUAAUACGGAGGGUGCGAGCGUUAAUCGGAAUUACUGGGCGUAAAGCGCGCGUAGGUGGCUGAUAAGCCGGUUGUGAAAGCCCCGGGCUCAACCUGGGAACGGCAUCCGGAACUGUCAAGCUAGAGUGCAGGAGAGGAAGGUAGAAUUCCCGGUGUAGCGGUGAAAUGCGUAGAGAUCGGGAGGAAUACCAGUGGCGAAGGCGGCCUUCUGGACUGACACUGACACUGAGGUGCGAAAGCGUGGGUAGCAAACAGGAUUAGAUACCCGAGUAGUC
rnacentral:rRNA from 1 species